UGUUUCUGAAAAAUAACCGAGAAUAUACCAAGCGGAUUUUCCAUUGAAAACGAAGGGGAAAAGUGAGACAGUUUGGUCGAACUUCGACGCAAUGGCGAUGGAUGCCAUUGAAACCCCCUCUCCUCCCUUUCACCCCCCUUCUUCCCAUUUCAGUCAACAACGCCACUUCUAUCUCGCCGUUGACAGGCUCCAGUUCAAGAUGGAGACAUUGAUGGACCUGUUGGGCGUGGCGGGUAGGCGUCCCUGCCUACCUAUAGUGGUCUGCUGCAGCUCACGUGAUGAGCUCGACGCGGUCAGCUCCGCCGUCGCCAACGUCCCCUAUAUCUCUUUAGCUUCUCUGUACACUGACCUUGCUGAAGCAGACCGUUCUUUGAUAUUAGAGCGCUUUCGGGAAGCAACAAUGAGGUGGAACCCAGAAGCCAGUGCUCAACCAGCGGAUGACAAUGAGCCUGUGAAAGAUGAACAAAAAUCUCAUAUGAUAGUUGCAACAGAUGCAUGCCUUCCACUUCUUGCUUCCGGGGAGUCACCCAUUUCUGCUCACGUUCUUAUAAAUUAUGAGUUGCCUACAAAGAAGGUUCUUCCUAGCUGUACUGCUUUGUUGGUUGCAUAGUAUGGGAUUCCCCGGUCUUGCAAUAACUUCAUAUAAUAUGUGCAGAUGGGAUUGUAAUCAAUAUGGUUGUUGGGGGUGAGGUAGUUACUCUCAAAAGCAUUGAAGAAAGUAGCAACCUGGUCAUAGCUGAGAUGCCCAUAAAUAUUUCUGAGAUUUUAUGAAGGCAUAUGAUCUGCUAUGCCGGCGGACAUGUUAAAGGACCAGAUGAGAUCCCUUGUACUCACUCUUGUAUUUGGUUGAAGCAUUUGAACGUGAUCUGGGUGCGUUUUGAGGAAGUUUCAAUCAUAUCAAAUUUAUACUGAUCUUGUUCUAAAAAAAAAAAAAAAGAUAAAAAUUUAUACUGAU